GAUGAACGCUGGCGGCGUGCCUAAUACAUGCAAGUCGAGCGAACUGAUUAGAAGCUUGCUUCUAUGACGUUAGCGGCGGACGGGUGAGUAACACGUGGGCAACCUGCCUGUAAGACUGGGAUAACUUCGGGAAACCGAAGCUAAUACCGGAUAGGAUCUUCUCCUUCAUGGGAGAUGAUUGAAAGAUGGUUUCGGCUAUCACUUACAGAUGGGCCCGCGGUGCGUUAGCUAGUUGGUGAGGUAAAGGCUAACCAAGGCAACGAUGAAUAGCCGACCUGAGAGGGUGAUCGGCCAUACUGGGACUGAGACACGGCCCAGACUCCUACGGGAGGCAGCAGUAGGGAAUCUUCCGCAAUGGACGAAAGUCUGACGGAGCAACGCCGCGUGAGUGAUGAAGGCUUUCGGGUCGUAAAACUCUGUUGUUAGGGAAGAACAAGUACGAGAGUACUGCUCGUACCUUGACGGUACUUAACCAGAAAGCCACGGCUAACUACGUGCCAGCCGCCGCAGUAACAC
rnacentral:rRNA from 1 species